rnacentral:rRNA from 1 species
UACGGAGGGUCCGAGCGUUGUCCGGAAUUAUUGGGCGUAAAGGGCUCGUAGGCGGUUUGUUGCGUCGGGAGUGAAAACACGGGGCUUAACCCCGUGCCUGCUUCCGAUACGGGCAGACUAGAGGUAUGCAGGGGAGAACGGAAUUCCUGGUGUAGCGGUGAAAUGCGCAGAUAUCAGGAGGAACACCGGUGGCGAAGGCGGUUCUCUGGGCAUUACCUGACGCUGAGGUGCGAAAGCGUGGGGAGCAAACAGG